GACGAACGCUGGCGGCGUGCUUAACACAUGCAAGUCGAACGGAAAGGCCCUGCUUGCAGGGUACUCGAGUGGCGAACGGGUGAGUAACACGUGGGUUAUCUGCCCUGCACUUCGGGAUAAGCCUGGGAAACUGGGUCUAAUACCGGAUAGGAGCCAUUUUUAGUGUGAUGGUUGGAAAGUUUUUUCGGUGUAGGAUGAGCUCGCGGCCUAUCAGCUUGUUGGUGGGGUAAUGGCCUACCAAGGCGGCGACGGGUAGCCGGCCUGAGAGGGUGGACAGCCACAUUGGGACUGAGAGGCGGCCCAGACGCCUACGGGAGGAAGAAGUGGGGAAUAUUGCACAAUGGGCGCAAGCCUGAUGCAGCGACGCCGCGUGGGGGAUGACGGCCUUAGGGUUGUAAACUCCUUUCGCUAGGGACGAAGCUUUUUGUGACGGUACCUAGAGAAGAAGCACCGGCUAACUACGUG
rnacentral:rRNA from 1 species